CCCAAAAUCGACUCCCCCCCUAGAAAUCCCGCCUGAAAUCUCUUCUUCUUUUUUCCCCAUUAUACUUUUUCCCAAACCAUAUUGUUGCAAACUCGUAAGAAGAUUCAAAAGAAAUUGAAGAUAAGAGGAUACAGCUUGAAGACGGAUGGUCUUGAUGAGAUUCUCUCUUUCGUCAGUCGCUUCCAAGAUGCUGAAGAUGAGGCUACUGAUCUCCUCCUCGACUAGCUCGAUCACCAAUCCUGUAAUUUUCUUUAUUUAUGCUUUUCUAGGGUUUUCCUUAUUUUUUAAUAUUCUAUUAGUAUUUUUUAAUUGUAAGUAGUGAAUUCUUCCAUAAUCGACAAGGAGGCGGUGCACCAAGUAGUCAGUCUUCUAUUGGAUGUUGGAGCAGCUGAGGAGGAGAUCUGUUUGAAUAUGCGGAUGUAAUUCUUGCAAAAAUCUCCUUGUUGGAAAUCCAGAGACUUAAUUCGUUACAGAAUUCUUUGAUAAUUAGUAAAAGCAAGUAAGGAGGGAAAGACUGAUGCUGGCUUUUUUUGUUUCUGACCACCUAAAAUUUCAUCCAUGAUCCUCAGUCAACGUUUGUUUCUAUGUCUAUACACCACUGUGUUACAAUCUCCUUGGAUAGUAUUAUUUUUCUAAAAAAGUAUUGCAAUCCUUAUAACAUUCAUUCUAUGGCUUUCUGUCUAAUAUGUUGGUCAGUUUCCUUUCUUUAGAUCAUGAUUUAUGAAUGAAAAGCAAUUCAUUCUUGCUGAGGUGUGCUGAUUUUCAGUGUUUGUUUACAGACCCUGGUUUUGAUAUAUGGGGCAUCAGUUAAUUUGAAUGUAAAGAAAAUGGAUCAACACAGGAAGUUUAAGACUUGUACUGGAGUUCUAUUGGAGGUCUUGUAGAUUCGUUGAUUUUAGAUGAUAAGAGCUGGACGCAGCUUGUAUAAGCUGCAGUUUAGAAUGUUUAUUAUUUUUUGGCUGAUAUUCUAUCAUUCUUACGAUAAGAAGUUUGUUCCUGUCAGUAUCAUACAUUUCAUGCUACAGUCUAGCAGUAAACCAUAUAUGCAAGCUAGUGAUCAAGCCUAUGUCAGUACUGUAGACACCUCUAUUUGGAGGUUGUUAGAACUACAUUGACAAAUUGUUGAUUGUCAUCUGCUACAACUGCAAGAAUGGAAAGGUAUAAAAUUUCAGAGGAGCUUGGAGAUGGUACCUAUGGUAGUGUGUUCAAAGCCUUUAAUAUAGAAACAUUUGAGAUUACGGAGAAAGCAUUUCUCAAACAACCCAAGGUGUUUUUAAGAAUGUGAAAAGCCAAUGAAGCAAGGAGUUCUCACUCCUGGACGUGUUCGUCUUUUGCUUCACAGAGGUCUGUGGACUUUGAAAUAUUUUUCAGAGGGAACUCUGGUUGGAACCUGGACACAUCAAAUUACAAGUUUACAAGUUUGUUUCUAGUAGCACAUGUGGAAAAUACAAUUGCCUUAAUUAAGUUCAUCCACUUAUAAAACCUUUGCUAUAUAUUAUCUGGAAAAGGGGGAAUCUGUUUUUGUGGCGGCACAUACUCUGCUGGAAAGACAGUUGUAGCAGAAUAUGCAUUUGCUUUGGCAUCAAAAUUACGUUAGUUAUUUUGGUUUUUUGCUUGUAAAUCCAUAGAUGUUUUGAUUUUUUGUUAGCUGGAGAUGUGACAAAUUGCUCACAUUGAUUAAGAACCUCAGGCCAUAUCUUUUUUAUUUUCAAGUUUCUGAAGUUCUAUGCUGAAUUUGGUUUAGUUUCAAGAUUUUUGAUAAGUUUUCAUGUCAUGCAACAUUGCACUAGAGCUGUGUAUACUGCUCCAAUUAAAACAAUUAGCAACCAGAAGUAUAGAGAUUUCUGUGGGAAGUUUGAUGUUGGCCUUCUCACAAGUGAUGUUAGUUUGAGACCAGAGGCUUUUUGUCUCAUCAUGAAAACUGAAUUGUUAAGGUCAAUGCUUUAUCGAGGUGCAGAUAUUAUUCGCGAUAUUGAAUGGGUGAAGGGGUUGCUUUUUGUAGCAUUACUUUACAUAGUAGUUUCAUUACUUUUUCUGCUGAACGCUCUUGUUAGUUCUUUUGUCUAAUUUGUGAACAUGAUAUUUAAGAUGUUUCUUUCUAUUGUGACUAUAUGAAUGUAGGUUAUAUUUGAUGAGGU